CGCGGGGUGGAGAAGUGGUAUCUCGUCGGGCUCAUAACCCGAAGAUCGGGGGUUCGAAUCCCCCCCCCGCUACCA
rnacentral:tRNA from 1 species